GUUGCGAGCGUUAGUUGCGGCGCUGCGAACGUUAGCUGCGGCGCUGCGCGCGUCAGUGGCGGCGCUGCAUGCGUCCGUCGCGAUGCUGAUACGGUCGUUCUUUCCAUGACUCUUCCCAUUCUCUCUCCGGCGUCAUGGCGUGCCGCGUGCAGACCUCGUUUCUAGUAUUGUAACUCCGCGACACGAUGCCGGUAUCCGAGCCGACUUACACGCGCAAUCACGUCUCUACUUUCUAAUCAACAUUUGUAUUCAGUAUUUAGUUAAUUAGGCAUUAAGUGUGUAUUAAAACGCCUCAUGGCAUAAAAUCAGAA